CAGCUGAUGUCCUGAUUUGUUAUUUUGGUGAAUUUGAAAAUAAUGACAAUGAUCAAUGAGUGUGGAAAUGGACGAGUGAAAGACAUGGUUGUACUGCAAUUGUAAUAACAUCCAGUACAUCAUAUGCAGAAAUGUACAAUGAGGUACAAAAUUUGUUCAAAGUCGAUCCCUCUGAGUAGGCCAUGGAAUUGAGAUUUCUAAUGGGCGAGAAUACAUCCAUUUCAAUUCCACCUAUAACGGUUACUUCUGAAAUUGAAAUGAAGGUUUUAAUUGAAAUGAACCAGAAAAGUGCGAUUCCUAUUUUCAUAACUUUGAUGAAGAAGAAUGUCCCCGAGAGUGAACAGGAAGAUUUCGAUGGAGGGGAUCGUAAUGUGAAUGAGUUUUGGGACACAGUGAAAAUAGUUUGUGAUGAUGUUAUAGCUGUUCCAGAGACAGUUGCUCCUCAUCAUGAUCUCACUGUUACAUACAGAAUUUGCUUGGCAGUUCAAGACAACGAAAGAGAUAAUGACUUUACAAAUGAGAAUUUGAGUGCUUUAUCCUGCUUGAGACAUGCAUCGAGUGGGAGCUCACAGGCUGGACCGAGUGCACGGUCCUCUAAUUGUUCGCGUAUAGUCCCUGAUGAUGAAGAUUUGUAUGGCGAGCAACUGUUUGACACGAAAAAAGAUUUGCAGGAAGCUGUUCACCAGAUUGUUUUGAAACACAAUUUUGAGUUUAAAGUGAAGAAAUCAAACAAAUCGACUUACACAAUUGUCUGCGUUGAUGACAGUUGCCUUUGACGUUUGCGAGCAACUAAAAUGGAUACGAAUGAGUUCUUUGUGGUUCGUAAAUAUGCACAGAAACAUACUUGCGAAGUGGGUAUUUGUCGAAAUGAUCACAGGCAAGCUUGAUCAUGGUUCAUUGGUCGAGAAGUAAUGCAUAAGUUUCAGGACCUACGAACAAUGUACAGACUUUCGGACAUUAUUAAUGACGUUCGUAUAGAGUACGAGUGGUCAUAAGCUAUCAGAAGGCUUGGAAGGCCAAAGAAUGUGCGUUGGAGGACUUGAUGGGUUCGACCGAGGAAAGUUAUGCUAAAUUGGCUAGGUAUUUCUUUAUUUAGAUG
rnacentral:lncRNA from 1 species